GUCUGGACUUCAGACGUAGUAUCUGUUCUUACCAGUUUAAUAUCUGAUACGUCCUCUAUGCGAGGACAAUGUAUUAAAUGGAUUUUUGGAGCAGGGAGUUGGAAUAGGAGCUCGGAAGAGAGUCGUGU